rnacentral:lncRNA from 1 species
ACCAAUUCAAAAGCUGAAAUUAUAAUUUAAGCUUGGAAAAUAUAAUAGACAACUUAUAAAAUCAUGCAUGCAUAUUAAUUAAAAUCUAAAAUGUCCACUCACUGAUUUAGGCCUAAGCCUGACGAAUUCCGAAUCACUACUCAAGCGCGGUUCCCUUCGUAUCCUGGCACAAUAAAUAUGCUUAGGACCAAACUUAAAUUCUGGAAAAUUAAACAUUUGAAAAUAAACACCCAAAUCUCUUCCGCUUAACCCACUACUCUAACUAGGGUUAAGCUCACCGGAUUUCCACCAAACUCCACCAUAACCUGAAUUCCUCAAUUCUAACAUUUUAGAAUAAAUAUCAAGGAAAUCCAACGGCAGGAUUUAUCCUAACAACCGCCAUUCUCUCCAAUCUCCGAAAAGUUCCAAACCUAACCAAAACUCAUCAAAAAAUUCCAAACUAUUCUUCAAUAAACUCCUCUUAUUAAAACCAUCUAAAAAACAGGAAAAACAACCCUUAAGGGGCGGCGGCGGCGGCCGGCAGCCGUAUUCCGGCAAGGACCAAAGCUUCUCAAAUUUUAGCAGAAUAAUCCUCUCAUCAUGCACAACAACUUUAAUAACUAGCACUUAAUCCAAAUCUAAGGCUAACUAGGGUAAUCGAACUAAAACAUCUAAAAAAUCCCUAAAUUCAAACCCUAGACCGAAAAUCCUCCUACACUUCGAAUUUGAUAGUUACCUUCUAGGGGAUUGAUGCACCAAGAAAGGCCGUCAAGCUGAGCCAAACGUCUCCAGCUAUAGUGGCCGGAGGAGGGAGAUUCUAGCAGAAACUCCCCCCGCUGCCCAGUCGGCUUCUAGUCGGGUUUUCUCCUUCACGGCGGCAAGGCACGACCAUCCACCUGCCCAGAAUUACAGUAGAGCUAACGCUGAGUUGAACGUGACAGAACCCACCCCGAAUUUCACCCUGAAACCCGAGGUAAAUCCUGUGGGGUCCACCUUGAAGGAAAAUUUACCAAAAAUUCGGCAUAACCUCUUUAAAAAUGGACGACCCUUACCUGAAAAAUCCAAUUUAACACUUCUAUAACCAAACAUCCAUCCUCAACACCUGGAGCCUUUCUGCUCCCCGAGUUCAACACAUCUCUCAAUAUAACAAUUACUCAACUAAACUAAUCCCACAACCAACAAUAACCAACAUUAAUUCACUAACUGAUUAUCAGAGCGUAUCUAGAGUUAAAUGAAAAACAAUGAAUAAAGAAUAAGCAGAAGCAGCCUCUGACUAUGCCUCGACUCCAUGUACGCCCGACCUCACUUAGACUGAGCCUGCAAUUUGGGCAUUUAAAACCAAAGGGCCCAGGGGAAAGUAACUUAAAAACGUUAGAGUGAGUGGACGAAAAAUAAUCAAGUAACUGAUCGCGACAUAACUACCUAAACUUAAUUACUUUCCCAUUUUCCAAUAAUCAAGAAAUUUGUUGUAUGCAAGUGUUGAUAAAACUUUCAUAGAGAAAAUUCCAAGAAAACAGACAAGCCCCACUAGUCAAAUUAACGACAAAGAUAAUUAAUAAUCUUCAUAGAAUAAGGUACCAAAAUAAUGGACUAGCCCCGCUAGUCAAAACUACAACAAUAAAUAAAGAGCAUAUAUAUAUAUAGCCAUACAUGAGCCUCCCAGACUCGGUUGCCUCCCAGGCAAAAGUACUCCCAUACUCCCUACACCUUCAUGUUAUGAUAACAGAGAGGAUGUAGGGCUUGCGUGAUGUCGUCGACUACAUCACAUCACCCGAAGGCGGAAAGGGCUUGAGUAACCCCACUUAAAAUGUGGAAGUUACAUCGCCUCGAAAGGUGGAACACCAUGCUAGCAUGAAUAAUAACGAUCCAACAAAUAUGGCAUAAAUAAAGAAACAUAAAUCCAUGUGAGUUUCCCCGAAACUCAUAAUUAAUGCAGAAGUACAAUUCCCAACCGUAUUCAAAGAAUUCAAAGAGCAAAGAAAAUCAAUAAAUUAGAUGACGUGUCCCACAAGUAAAAUGCUCAAAGAAAUAAUUAACUUAAAUAAUUAUCAUCUUUCGAAAACCAGGCAAUAUGCAAAUCUGUAUAUAAUCUCAAAUCCGGAAAUCAAAAGAAUAUCAUAAUUCAAAUACCAAAACUCUUACCCAAGCUCAAAUCCAUAAGUUAUUAUCAAAAACAUAACCAGUCGGUCAAUCUCAAAUAAAUUCCAUAACCAACUCAAAAGCUGAAAUUAUAAUUUAAGCUCGGAAAAUAUAAUUGACAACUUAUAAAAUCAUGAAUGCAUAUUCCUUUAAAAAUAAAGUGUCCACUCACAGAUUUAGGCCUAAGCCUGACGAAUUCCGAAUCACUACUCAAGCGCGGUUCCCAUUGUAUCCUGGCACAAUAAAUAUGCUUUGGACCAAACUUAAAUUCUGGAAAAUUAAACAUUUGAAAAUAAACACCCAAAUCUCUUCCGCUUAACCCACUACUCUAACUAGGGUUAAGCUCACCAGAUUUCCACCAAACUCCACCAUAACCUUAAUUCCUCAAUUCUAACAUUUUAUAAUAAAUAUCAAGGAAAUCCAACGGCCGGAUUUAUCCUAACAACCGCCAUUCUCUCCAAUCUCCGAAAAAUUCCAAACUUAACCAAAACUCAUCCAAAAAUUCCAAACUAUACUUCAAUAAACUCCUCUUAUUAAAACCAUCUCAAAAACAGGAAAAACUGCCCUUAAGGGGCGGCGACGGCGGCCGGCGGCCGGCAGCCGUAUUCCGGCAAGGACCAAAGCUUCUCAAAUUUUAGCAGAAUAAUCCUCUCAUCAUGCACAACAACUUUCAUAACUAGCACUUAAUCCAAUUCUAAGGCUAACUAGGGUAAUCGAAUCAAAACAUCCAUAAAUCCCUAGAACUUCAAUUAUACAUUUCUCAUUAACAAGAUCGAAUUAGACCAAAUCCUUUUGAGGGGUUACUCACCUUGAUGAGAGCUACAAGAUGAGCCAAGUUUCAAGAGCUAUGGUGGCCGGAGGAGGGAGCUCCGGCGAAAGGACAAUCGGCAGUUCGGGCGGGAUUCCUCUCAAUCGGUGGCGUCCCACGGGCGGUCACCGGCCCAGAAUGAGAGAGGGGACAGCAGGGGUUCGAACGGAGGUGGUCUGGCGGUCUGCAGUGGCCGUAUGGCGGCGGCAGACGGAGCUGAAGUCUCCGGCGGGAGAGAGAGCUCUCGGGGGACUCGGGAGUUCGGGAGAGAAGGGAGGAAGAGAGAGAGAGAGAGAGUUGGGCUUUGACCCCCUCUUCACCCGGUCCAAACUUAAAACACCCACAAAAUAAAGCCUACUAGAAUUUACCUCCUUUUACCAAUAUAGUAACUUUCGUUUUUAGACCAUAACUUCUUCAUACGAACUCCGUUUUAAGCGUGCCGCGUGUCCACGAACUCCCUUUAACGUCCUCUACGACUUUCAUGAAGGAAGUUUUCCCAAAUUCGAAACGGAAGAAAAAGUCGACUUUUGGAGUCUUAAAUAGUAAACGGUUACUUAAAACGGUAAAAUGUCAAAGUAACCCAAAAGUAAAUAACCGCAAAUUGACUUAAGAACCGGGAUGUGCCAGAACGGGACCAGCGCGGCGGUCUGUGGCGAUCGGACGGCGGCGGACGGAGGCCGGGAAUCCAGCGAGUCGGGAAAGACGCGGGGGAGAGGAGAGAGAGAAACAGAGGCUGAGAAGGAAAUGGGCUUCUCUCACACUCGGUCCAACUUAACCCAACAAAAUAAUGCCUACAAAAAUUUACCCCCUUUUUACGAUCCAAAGUAACUUUCGUUAUUAGACCAUAAUUUCUUCAUACGAACUCCGUUUUAAAGGUGCCGCGUGUCCACGAACUCCGUUUAACAUCCUCUACGACUUUCAUGAAGAAAGUUUUCCCAAAUUCCAAACGGAAGAAAAAGUCAACUUUUAGAGUCUUAAAUAGUAAACGGCUACUUAAAACGGUAAAAGGUCAAAUUUACCCAAAAGUAAAUAACCGCAAAUUGACUUAAGAACCGGGAUGUGACAUUGGAGGUUGCCAGAGUUGGCCUCUGGCCGCCGCUGCUGGCGCCGCCGCCGCCGCUGUUUUGGAGAUUUUUAUGGUUUUAAAUGUGGAAUAUUUAGGGGAGUUUAUUGAUAUGAAUUAUGGAAUUUUGGGAUGAGUUUUGGAUAGGUUUGUGAUUUUCCGAAGUUUGGUAAUUUUGGCAGAUUAAUAAGGUAGAAUCCGGCCGUUGGAUUAAAGUCAUAUAAUUUGUGGAAGGGUGUAGUUAAGGCUGCUGGUUUUAGUGUUGAGGUGUGGACCGUAUCAAAGUUAGGCAAUGAUGAGCGUGAGUAUGGCUCUCGGUUAAUUUUGCCUAUUUGGUUUAAAUAUUGGAUUUUUAGUUGGGAAAUUAAUUAUAUAUUUGUGCCAGGGUUCGAGGAAACCUCACUGGAGUGGCGAUUUGGAUUUCGUCGAGCUUAUGCCUAGAGUUGUGAGUGGACUUUUGUUUUAAAUAAUAUGCAUGCUAUGGUUUUGGUUGAACAUUUAAAUUGUUGGAGUUUUGACGUCAUUUAAUUUUGACGCUUUUAUUUCUCUUGGAGAGUUACCGAAAAAUGGGAUUUUUCGGUGAGUAUAAAUAUGUAUAUUGAGGAGAGUAUGUAUAUAAAUGCUAGCUAGCCAUAUGUGUCUGUCCACCUUAAUGGCGUAGCAUAUAGCCGCAUUAAGGUGUGACGUGAGCGUUGGACGCAAGCGUAGUUGCCCUAUAUGAGUGUUUAAUUCAUAUAGGGGGUAUGGGCACAUAUUUAUACACCUGUCUGUCCACCUUAAUGGCUUAGUGUAGCACUGCAUUAAGGCGUGACGUGAGCGUUGGACGCGGGCGUAGUAGCCUUAUAUAGACCCAUGAAUUUAUAUAGGGAGUAUGGACGUGUGUAAAUACAUACAUAUAUUAUAGAGUCUGAGAGGCUCUAUAUUUAUGAGAUAAAAGUUUUAUCGCUUACAGCAUGCAUUCGAUUUUCCUUGGAAAUUGAUUUGGGGAAACAUAAAUAUUUUAUUCGUUAAUUUAUUUUUGUCAACUCACUCUAAUGUGUUUCAAAUGUUUUCCCCUGGGCUCUUCGUUUUAAAAAUGCCCAGUUUGCAGGAUUGCAUAGUUGAGGUCGGGCGUACAUGGAGAAGAGGCAUAGUCAAUAGUAUAGCUUCCGCUCAUUAUAUUUCUAGUUCAUGUCCUUUCAAAUAGUGGUGCUCUGAACUGUGGCUGUUGGUUAUGAGAUUAAAUUGUUAGAGUUAGUAAAUAAAUUGGGAGAUGUUGUGUUUUGGGGAGCACGAAGGCUCCAGGAGUUUAAGGUUGGAUUUGGACUUUCAGAAGUGUAUGCAGGUAUUAUUAGAAAGGGUUGUCCAUUUUCAAGGGAGGUUAUGCCGAAUUUUCGAUGAACUUUCCUUGGAGGUGGUCCCCGCAGGAUUUACUUCGGGUUUCAAGGUGAAAUUCAGGGUGGGUCCUGACAAGGUAUGCCUCAGUCUAACAUGCCCGUCGAGAAUGCUCCUCACAUGAAGUAGAAAACAAAACUCCUUAUGCCCAAUUUGAAGCAGAUCCUGUGAGUCGCGCGAAACGUUUCCAUUGAAGACGAAACUCAUUUCCCCGGCGUUUCAGAUUUCUUCUUUCGUGGAAACGCGUUUCGGGGCGUUUCGUUUCCGAAACUUUUCUGAAACGCGAAAUGUCGGUAAUUUGGCGUUUCAGUGCAACAUAGUGGAUAAGUAAUGAUAUUAUCUAUUUAUUUAAAUAAAUAAAAAAAACAUUUUUACUCACAUAAGUCCACCCAAGCCUAAAUAAAGUUUUAUACUAGGUAUUAAAGUUCAACAAAAGAAAAAUUUUAAAUACACACCCCUGAUCUUUUAAUACACACCUCUAAUAUUUUAUGUUUCUGUUGAGAUUUUAUAGGUAAGCUAAAUGACCAAAAUAAACAUCUAUUAUUAAAAAAAAAAAAAUAAUCGCGCUAGAAGUGUUAUUUUCAACAUCUUCUACCCUAAAAUCGUCGAAAGCACGUCUUCUCCCCUAACC